GCAGAAGAGGUGAAGCUGCAAGCAUCGGUUCCCUCCUGCUGACAGGUCCCUGGGCACCCCAUGAAGGGAGAGCGUGACAUGGUCCUGCUUUUCCUGGCAGCACUGGUGGGACUGGCAGACUUUGGUCAUGCCCAAAAGGACUCUGUGCUCCAGUUUCCAGCAGAAAUGACCGUCCAGGCAGGGGAGAGCACAGCUCUGCACUGCAAUUUCUCCACCAGCUAUCGCAAUCCCUACAUCUACUGGUACCAGCAGCGCCAGUCCCAGUCCCCUCAGAUGCUGCUGCAGGUCGACAAAUGGAAAUCUCGGGUGGAUUCAGGGAGAUUCUCCUCUACACUGACUGUGGAGACCUCCCAGGCAACAGGAAUGGUUCUGGGGACCUAUUCUCAGGCAAUCCCACCCCAGCACUGCCUGUGGAAGCUCAGCUGGAGGGUGCUGGCUUUCCAGCUGGAUCCCACCCUAUGAAGUGGAGACUGUUGCUCAUGAAGUAUCAUCCAGUUCACCUGAGAAAGCCUAAGGUACUUGGUGGUUGACCUACUGCUGUUCCAGAAUGGCCUGCCUCUUGCAAGUGACAUGGGUCUGCUCUGCCAGCCCUGUUGGAGGCUUUGCCUGCCCCUAUUCAUCUC